UACGUAGGGGGCAAGCGUUGUUCGGAAUUACUGGGCGUAAAGCGCGCGUAGGCGGCUUUGUAAGUUAGAGGUGAAAGCCCAGGGCUUAACCCUGGAAUUGCCUUUAAGACUGCAUCGCUCGAAUUGUGGAGAGGUGAGUGGAAUUCCGAGUGUAGAGGUGAAAUUCGUAGAUAUUCGGAAGAACACCAGUGGCGAAGGCGACUCACUGGACACAUAUUGACGCUGAGGUGCGAAAGCGUGGGGAGCAAACAGGG
rnacentral:rRNA from 1 species